UACGAAGGGGGCUAGCGUUGCUCGGAAUCACUGGGCGUAAAGGGUGCGUAGGCGGGUCUUUAAGUCAGGGGUGAAAUCCUGGAGCUCAACUCCAGAACUGCCUUUGAUACUGAGGAUCUUGAGUUCGGGAGAGGUGAGUGGAACUGCGAGUGUAGAGGUGGAAUUCGUAGAUAUUCGCAAGAACACCAGUGGCGAAGGCGGCUCACUGGCCCGGUACUGACGCUGAGGUGCGAAAGCGUGGGGAGCAAACAGG
rnacentral:rRNA from 1 species